rnacentral:rRNA from 1 species
ACGAACGCUGGCGGCGUGCUUAACGCAUGCAAGUCGAACGGAAAGGCCCCUUUGGGGGUACUCGAGUGGCGAACGGGUGAGUAACACGUGAGUAACCUGCCCUUGACUUCGGGAUAACUUCAGGAAACUGGGGCUAAUACCGGAUAGGAAUCCUUGCUGCAUGGUGGGGGUUGGAAAGCUUCGGCGGUUUUGGAUGGACUCGCGGCUUAUCAGCUUGUUGGUGGGGUAGUGGCUUACCAAGGCUUUGACGGGUAGCCGGCCUGAGAGGGCGACCGGCCACAUUGGGACUGAGAUACGGCCCAGACUCCUACGGGAGGCAGCAGUGGGGAAUAUUGCACAAUGGGCGGAAGCCUGAUGCAGCAACGCCGCGUGCGGGAUGACGGCCUUCGGGUUGUAAACCGCUUUCAGCAGGGGCGAAGCUUGUGGUGACGGUACCUGCAGAAGAAGCACCGGCUAACUACGUG